rnacentral:rRNA from 1 species
AGCAGCCGCGGUAAUUCCAGCUCCAAUAGCGUAUAUUAAAGUUGUUGCAGUUAAAAAGCUCGUAGUUGAAUUUCGGGAUCAGCAGGUUGGUCGUGCCUCUGGUAUGCACUGGUUUCGCUGAUUCCUCCUUUCUGAAGAACUGUAAUGUCAUUAAUUUGGUGUUGCAGGGAAACAGGACUGUUACUUUGAAAAAAUUAGAGUGUUUAAAGCAAGCUAACGCUUGAAUACAUUAGCAUGGAAUAAUGAAAUAGGACGUUUGAUCCUAUUUUGUUGGUUUCUAGGAUUGACGUAAUGAUUAAUAGGGAUAGUUGGGGGCAUUAGUAUUCAAUUGUCAGAGGUGAAAUUCUUGGAUUUAUUGAAGACUAACUACUGCGAAAGCAUUUGCCAAGGAUGUUUUCAUUAAUCAAGAACGAAAGUUAGGGGAUCGAAGACGAUCAGAUACCGUCGUAGUCUUAACCAUAAACUAUGCCGACUAGGGAUCGGNUGAUGUUAAUUUUUUAAUGACUCA